ACAUCCAUUGCAUGCGUCAAAGGA
rnacentral:siRNA from 1 species